rnacentral:tRNA from 1 species
GCGACACUAGCUCAGCUGGUAGAGCGCAAACCUUGCCAAGGUUGAGGUCACGAGUUCGAACCUCGUGUGUCGCU